CGUAGGGUGCGAGCGUUAUCCGGAAUUAUUGGGCGUAAAGAGCUCGUAGGCGGUUUGUCGCGUCUGUCGUGAAAAGUCCGGGGCUUAAACCCCGGACGUCUGCGGGUGGGGUACGGGCGAGACUAGAGUGCAGUAGGGGAGACUGGAUUCCUGGUGUAGCGGUGGAAUGCGCAGAUAUCAGGAGGAACACCGAUGGCGAAGGACAGGUCUCUGGGCUGUAACUGACGCUGAAGGAGCGAAAAGCAUGGGGGAGCGAACAGGAUU
rnacentral:rRNA from 1 species